rnacentral:rRNA from 1 species
UACGUAGGGGGCAAGCGUUGUCCGGAAUUAUUGGGCGUAAAGAGCGCGUAGGCGGUCCGAUAAGUCGGCUGUGAAAGUCCAGGGCUCAACCCUGGAAAGCCGGCCGAUACUGUCGGACUAGAGUCCGGGAAGAGGCGAGUGGAAUUCCCGGUGUAGCGGUGAAAUGCGCAGAUAUCGGGAGGAACACCAAUGGCGAAGGCGAGCUCGGCCUGG